rnacentral:ncRNA from 2 species
CCACGCGCGCCGGGAGAGCGUGCCGGCUUGGUGCGACGAAUCACAAGCCGGUGCCGCCGAAGGGGCAACCCACAAACUCUCAGGCAAAAGGACCGUGCGCGCCG